rnacentral:snRNA from 1 species
AUACUUACCUGGCAGGGGUGACUCCAUGAUCAAGCAGGUGGAUCGCCUAGAGUGAGGAGCAGCCAUUGCACUCCGGCUCUCUGACCUCUAUGAGUUCUCCACAUGUGAGAAUCUCAACUGCAUAAUUUCAGCUGGGGAAGUCGUGGCCUAAU